AAAAAAUGAUCAAAAAAUGUUUUUGUCUCAGCUGAUGGUUUGUGACAUUUCAACUUUUGCUUUUAUUUUU